rnacentral:pre_miRNA from 1 species
AGCCUUUUGUAUCCGUGCUGAGAUUUCUUCACACACCAGACCACAAGGGCUGAUGAGACUUCCAAGAUAAGUGAAGCG